rnacentral:rRNA from 1 species
CGGGGUGAGUAAUGUCUGGGAAACUGCCUGAUGGAGGGGGAUAACUACUGGAAACGGUAGCUAAUACCGCAUAACGUCGCAAGACCAAAGAGGGGGACCUUAGGGCCUCUUGCCAUCGGAUGUGCCCAGAUGGGAUUAGCUAGUAGGUGGGGUAAUGGCUCACCUAGGCGACGAUCCCUAGCUGGUCUGAGAGGAUGACCAGCCACACUGGAACUGAGACACGGCCCAG